CCUGCUGCUUUUAAGGCCAUGGUUGGGUCUGUACCCGACGAAAUAACCUGCAAGUGAAAUACGCUGUGGUUGUUUUAGGUCAGGCAUCUCCACGGGAGGCUGCACAAGCUCGGCAGCAGAGAGGCGGGGCCCGAGGUUGGCUCCUCCCAGGGCGGAAGACGCAGGAACGAGGAAGGAAGUUUCCCUAGAAGAAAGGAGGAAGUAGCACAGUUGCUGCAGUUGCGCUGCGCAUGCGGGCUCACAGAGAAGUGUAGGCUGAGGCCGAGGCAGCUAGAUUCCGUGAUCCAUUUCCAAACCAAUUGUGUUACCUCGAGGCUGACCUGCCCUCUCCGAAGCCUGAGGCCCAGUUGUUUUCCUGCACCACCCUUCCCCAGCGCCCAUUGAUUGCUGCCGCAGUUGUCACUUGCGUGACACCCUGUGUGUCGGUCAUUUCUCUUCCAGCCAUCACUGUUCUCUUUUAAGACUGGAUUUCAGAGAAGGCUACCCCUAGUGGUUGGUCCUUGCCUAUUAAGGCUAUGGCCAGAUCCCCACCCCUUUGGGCCAUUUGUGUAUCUAUAUUUUGUCAGUCUUAUGCUGUUAACAUCAUGGGGUUAAUGUUGCCAACCCUGAUCAAGAAUAUGUUUGAUUUUGACCUCAGAAAUGCUUUGGAUGUAGGAGCUUCGACUUUCCUAUUUUCAUCUGAAUUCUUUAUCCUUCCUGAACAAAUCAUUAAGGUUUUCCUGGUCUUCUGAACCUGACUGAGGAGAACCACAAAGAAGAGUUGCAUGCUUGAUUAAGAGACUCUUAAGGUUGGAAGGAACUUCAGAAGCCAUCCUGAACAAGAAUCCUUCUCUACAACAUACAUAAUGAGUUAUCAUCUAGCCUUUAAUUGAAGAUCUCUAGGUAGCUAGGAAAUGCAGUGGACAGAGUGCUAGCUUUGAAGUCCAGAAAUCCCAAGCUCAAAUCAGACCUCAGACACCUCCUGGCUGUAUGAUCCUGGGCAAGACAUUGCCUCAAUUUUCUCAUCU